rnacentral:rRNA from 1 species
GUGCCAGCAGCCGCGGUAAUACGUAGGUCCCGAGCGUUGUCCGGAUUUAUUGGGCGUAAAGCGAGCGCAGGCGGUUAGAUAAGUCUGAAGUUAAAGGCUGUGGCUUAACCAUAGUACGCUUUGGAAACUGUUUAACUUGAGUGCAGAAGGGGAGAGUGGAAUUCCAUGUGUAGCGGUGAAAUGCGUAGAUAUAUGGAGGAACACCGGUGGCGAAAGCGGCUCUCUGGUCUGUAACUGACGCUGAGGCUCGAAAGCGUGGGGAGCGAACAGGAUUAGAUACCCCAGUAGUCC